AUUUGAUGGUGUGGGCAGCUUGCACAUAACUUUUUGAAACGCUCCCAAUAUUCAUACAAUGACUCUCCAUUGUUUUGUCUUAUACCACAGAUUUCCUUUCUAAUGUU
rnacentral:snoRNA from 1 species